AUUGAACGCUGGCGGAAUGCUUUACACAUGCAAGUCGAGCGGCAGCGCGGGGGCAACCCUGGCGGCGAGCGGCGAACGGGUGAGUAAUGUAUCGGAACGUACCCAGUCGUGGGGGAUAACUAUCCGAAAGGAUAGCUAAUACCGCAUACGACCUGAGGGUGAAAGCGGGGGACCGAAAGGCCUCGCGCGAUUGGAGCGGCCGAUAUCGGAUUAGCUAGUUGGUGAGGUAAAGGCUCACCAAGGCGACGAUCCGUAGCUGGUCUGAGAGGACGACCAGCCACACUGGAACUGAGACACGGUCCAGACUCCUACGGGAGGCAGCAGUGGGGAAUUUUGGACAAUGGGCGCAAGCCUGAUCCAGCCAUUCCGCGUGAGUGAAGAAGGCCUUCGGUUGUAAGCUCUUUCGUCAAGGAAAGAAAAC
rnacentral:rRNA from 1 species